AACUGGGAUUAGAUACCCCACUAUGCUUAGCCUUAAACUUAGAUAAUUAUAUUACACAUAUUAUCCGCCCGGGUACUACGAGCAUUAGCUUAAAACCCAAAGGACUUGGCGGUGCUUAACAACCCCCUAGAGGAGCCUGUUCUA
rnacentral:rRNA from 1 species